rnacentral:rRNA from 1 species
UACGGGAGGCAGCAGUGAGGAAUAUUGGUCAAUGGACGCAAGUCUGAACCAGCCACGUCGCGUGAAGGAAGACGGCCCUACGGGUUGUAAACUUCUUUUGUAAGGGAAUAAAGUGCAGUACGCGUACUGUUUUGCAAGUACCUUGCGAAUAAGGAUCGGCUAACUCCGUGCCAGCAGCCGCGGUAAUACGGAGGAUCCGAGCGUUAUCCGGAUUUAUUGGGUUUAAAGGGUGCUCAGGCGGGGGAUUAAGUCGGCGGUGAAAUUUUGCAGCUCAACUGUAAAAGUGCCUUCGAAACUGGUUUCCUUGAGUGUGGAUGAGGUAGGCGGAAUUUGUGGUGUAGCGGUGAAAUGCAUAGAUAUCACGAGGAACUCCGAUUGCGCAGGCAGCUUACUAAACCAUAACUGACGCUCAAGCACGAAGGCGUGGGGAUCAAACAGGAUUAGAUACCCUGGUAGUCCACGCAGUAAACGAUGAUUACUGGCUGUUUGCGAUAUACAGUAAGCGGCUGAGCGAAAGCGUUAAGUAAUCCACCUGGGGAGUACGUUCGCAAGAAUGAAACUCAAAGGAAUUGACGG